ACGGUCCUAAGGUAGCGAAAUUCCUUGUCGGGUAAGUUCCGACCUGCACGAAUGGCGUAACGAUCUCCACACUGUCUCGGCCAGAGACUCGGUGAAAUUGAAGUCGCGGUGAAAAUGCCGUGUACCCGCAGAAAGACGGAAAGACCCUGUGCACCUUUACUAUAGCUUGACAUUGGAUUUUGGGCCUGCAUGUGUAGGAUAGGUGGGAGGCUGUGAACCCUGUACGCCAGUAUGGGGGGAGGCAACGUUGAAAUACCACCCUUGUUUGUUCAGGUCCCUAACUCCUUGCCGUUACCCGGUAGGAGGACAGUGUCUGGUGGGUAGUUUGACUGGGGCGGUCGCCUCCCAAAAUGUAACGGAGGCAUGCAAAGGUUCCCUCAGGCUGAUUGGAAACCAGCCGUCGAGUGCAAACGCAAAAGGGAGCUUGACUGCAAGAGAGACAUCUCGAGCAGGUACGAAAGUAGGUGUUAGUGAUCCGGUGAUCCCGAAUGGAAGGGUCAUCGCUCAUUGGAUAAAAGGUACGCCGGGGAUAACAGGCUGAUCGCAUCCAAGAGUUCACAUCGACGAUGCGGUUUGGCACCUCGAUGUCGGCUCAUCACAUCCUGGGGCUGAAGCAGGUCCCAAGGGUACGGCUGUUCGCCGUUUAAAGUGGUACGCGAGCUGGGUUUAAAACGUCGUGAGACAGUUUGGUCCCUAUCUUCUGUGGGCGUAGGAGAAUUGAAAGGGCCUGUCCCUAGUACGAGAGGACCGGGAUGGACACACCACUGGUGGACCUGUUGUCGUGCCAACGGCACAGCAGGGUAGCUAUGUGUGGAAGGGAUAACCGCUGAAAGCAUCUAAGCGGGAAGCCUGCCUUAAGAUAAGUUCUCCCUGACGCAAGUCCUGAAGGGCCGAGGUAGACGACCUCGUUGAUAGGCUGGAGGUGGAAGCCCUGUGAGGGGUGGAGCUGACCAGUACUAAUAGCCCGUGCGUCUUGUUUCU
rnacentral:rRNA from 1 species